UAUGACAAGAGUGGCAGUUACAGUACUGAUUUAUAAAACUUAUAUUAAGCAGUGUACAAAGUUUCGAAGUGAGUGGGAAGCAGAUGAUUGAAGUACAUCCUUUUUUCAGAAUCUGAGUCUUAAAAGCUUUUCAUGUUAUUAGUGAGUGAUCUUAAAAGAAGCUGCGAUGGCAAAGAUUAUCAGUUCAUGCUCUUGAUGAGUAGACCAAGAGUAAGCUUGAUAUCAAUAGUCUAAAGUCUUUAGACUUGGAGCAGUUUAUCAAGGUUUCAUAUU